rnacentral:lncRNA from 1 species
GUUAAAGAUUAUUAUCAUACUUACGAUCUAUAGAGCAUAAGGUAAAUUUUGUCAAUAAUGUCAAGGAAAUGCUUGCCAUGGUUAUUACUUAUGUGAAGCUUGAGGAAUAUUUAAAUGAUCUAUUUAAAACUCAAGUACCCUUUGAGCAUUUAUCUUGGGCAAAAGUUAUCUUUCAAAAGAAAAAAAAACUCAAAAGAGCCACCUAGAUCAGUAUGAGGAUUAUCAUAUUAAUUCACGGACUUUUAUAAUUAUAUUCUUGCUUUGUCACUGGAUUGUCAUUAACUUAAUGAACAAAACACACUGUAUUGUCACAGGGACUGUAUUUUACUAUCUGGCCCUUUGACAGUCAUUGUGUAAGAGCUCUGGACCUCACACAGAUACUCUCAAAUUCUCCCUGUAUAAAGACGACUUUCAAAGGCUUUCAAAAAGACAAAGGAAGUUUACUUCUCUUUCCUUAUUGGAGUGUUUAGGAUAAAAUAUUUCCUGGGCCUAGACCAUCCAUACCCAGUUGUGGCUAUCUUUUUGGCAAUAAGUUUUGACAGAGAUUUAACAUCUGUCAUCAAUUUUGAUUUUAACUUUGAGUGACAUUGUUUAGUAUUAAAUUUGUUUAUGUAACGCCUCAUUUUUUCCCAAAGUCUUUUGAAUCCAAAAUGUCAGAAUGCUUAUUGAUGAGAGAUGAGGCUGUUAACCUUCCAAUAGAAAAGUUAGGUGUCCAUGGCCAGUAACAGUCUUAUCAGACAACUCCAUUUGGCAACAGGCCGUCUCCUUUGCUGAUGUUCAUCGUUUUCCGUAUGAGACUAAAUUAUAGCCAACAUAGCUUUGUGUUGGUUCUCUGUUAAAAA